GAUGAACGCUGGCGGCGUGCCUAAUACAUGCAAGUCGAACGCUGGAAAUCUAGCUUGCUAGAUUGAAGGAGUGGCGAACGGGUGAGUAAUACAUAAGCAACCUACCCACGAAGACUGGGAUAAUCUCUGGAAACGGGGACUAAUACCGGAUAGGUAAUCGGAAGGCAUCUUCUGAUUAUUAAAGGUUAAAAACACUGGUGGAUGGGCUUAUGGCGCAUUAGUUAGUUGGUGAGGUAACGGCCCACCAAGACGAUGAUGCGUAGCCGGCCUGAGAGGGUGAACGGCCACAUGGGGACUGAGACACGGCCCAGACUCCUACGGGAGGCAGCAGUAGGGAAUUUUCGGCAAUGGGGGAAACCCUGACCGAGCAACGCCGCGUGAGUGAUGACGGCCUUCGGGUUGUAAAGCUCUGUUGUAAGGGAAGAACGGUAGAUAGAGAAUAUCUAAAUGACGGUACCUUACCAGAAAGCCACGGCUAACUACGUG
rnacentral:rRNA from 1 species